CGGAGUGAAGGAGCGGGGCGCGGGGCUCUGCGGGGUGCAGUUUAACCUCAGGUCACUGCUGAUCCCCAAGCGCCGUCAGGAGCUACCGCAUCGCGUGUGUCUGGACUAGUCCCUCCGGGGCUGGCGGGUGGCUCCGGCUUGCCGCGCCGUGCUCGCCAGCCCCCGGGGGGGGGGGUGUAAGUGGGGGCCCCCGUGGGUGCAUUUUACGCAUUGCAAAGACGAGCUUCCCCGCCUACUUCGCACUGGCAGAAGUUUCUGCGCCGUAGAAGUUUUGCGGAAGCCCUGGAGGGUCCGGCUCUGGGCCGGAUAACGAGUCCCGGGGUGCGGGGGAGGCGGCGGGAUAGACCCCCCGGCCUGGGGGUUGCCGGCGCUGGUUUUCCAUAGCCAGCCUCCGCGUGGGCAAAGGCGCACGCCUCCUGAGCGCGCUAAAGCGCGGGAGCCCCGCCUGCUCAGGUGGGGCUGCGGGGCGCCUCGUCCCUUCGCCUUUGCGCAGGACCCGCAGCGCCUCUUCUCCGCUCCCGUCCCGCGCUGCGUCCCCGGGGCUGCCCGGCGCCGGGCGCGCGACCAGCCCGAGCAGGGGUCACCCCGCUGGCUGCUUUAACGGGGCCGGGAGCGGAGCGUGGCCAGGGGCUGCAGGGCUAGCGGGCGGUGUUUGUGGGGCCCCCCUCUCGGUAUAGCUCUCAUCUGCUCUGAAGCCGCAGCUGGAACCGUUGCUGGGCUGGCUCGGGCUGUUGGGAGCCCUGGUCAGGUGGGGUCAGUCUGUGCGAGCUGUUUCCCGUGUCUGCUGGAGCACUGUGACCGCCGUCAACCUCGGAGGCCGGCGAUUGUGCCUGUCUGCAGAGCGAGAGCAGAUCUCAUGAAUGGUGCCAGCCUAUUUGAUGGUAUUGAUGGGCAGAGCAGUGGAAAGCAGUGGAAGGCCUGCCCCUGCAGGUGACAGAGGGGCCAGACUGACAGCCACAGACUGAAAUCCUUUAUUUGCCCACAAAACAGAAGUAGUAUUAGCUGUAAUAGUACCAGUCCAAUCCCACCAACAAGCCUCAACCCCGACUAGGAGGAACCAGAUGUUAGUUUGAAAAGGGAGUUCAGUCUCCCUAUUCAUUCAUUCCUUGAGCUGUCUGCUGAAACUGCCAAAACGGAUGCCAAUUCUGGUGAUGAUGGUGUAAUAUUUUAGGAGGGGGACAUCAGUCUAUCAGGAAUUCUACUGACCUCACCAGCUCAUUUCACAGAUGCCACAGGCUACCCAGUUAGUGUGGUCUUUGGGUUACUACUGACUUGGGCUGUUGCUGCAAAAAAGCCACAAAAAGAAUUAUGUAGGCAAAAAUGAAGGCUUACGCAUACACUGUAGUUUGAAUAAUGAAGGUAUUAAUAGCAUUAGAUGGCUGAAAAGUAAACAGGAAGAAAGCAUUCUUUUUUACUGGAACGGGGGGACAGUCAUGUGACAUUCAAACUUAAAUUUAAGGGCCCUGACUCAACUUCCAUUGAGACCAAAUGGAAAGACUGUCUCUUAUUUCAUUUGUUAUUGGAUCAGCCCUAAACUGGUGAUAGCAAUUUGUUUGCCAUCCAGGGCCACCCUCCAGCAAAGAAAUGCAUCGUGUGUUUUAUAAUUUGUACACUGGAAUUGUUAGGCAUAAGCACCAUUUACCGAAAAAGCACAGUCGUUAUUAUCGGAACUGCGCUAACGCCCAGAGGCCCUCAUUGUGACUUGGGUCUCAUUGUGCUUGUCACUGUACAGACACAUAGGAAGACAUUGUCUCCGUCCUGAAGAGCGCUCAGUCAAAUGGUGUCACCUGAAAGUGAGAACAGGCGUUUGCAUGGAGCUUUUGUAGCCGGAGUUGCAAGGUAUUUAUGAGCCACAUAUGCUAAACAUUCAUAUGCCCCUUCAUGCUUUGGCCACUGUUUCAGAGGACAUGCUUUCAUGCUGCUGAUGCUUGUUAAAAAAAAUGCGUUAAUUAAAUUUGUGACUGAACUCCUUGGGGGAGAAUUGUAUGUCUCCUUUUCUGUUUUACCCACUUUCUGCCAUAUAUUUCAUGUUAUAGCAGUCUUGGAUGAUGACCCAACACAUGUUUGUUUUAAGAACACUUUCACAGCAGUUUUGACAAAACUCAAAGAGGGUCCCUAUGUGAGAUUUCUGUGGAUAGAUACAGGACUCAACCCAAGGUUAAAGAAUCUGAAGUGCCUUCCAAAAUCUGAGAGGGAUGAGGUGUGGAGGAUGCUUUCAGAAGUCUUAAAAGAGCAACACUUGGAUGCUGAAACUAUAGAACCUAAACCACUAAAAAAAAUCAACCUUCCCUGGUGGCAUCUGACUCAAAUGAUGAACAUGCUUCGGUCCGCUCUGCUUUGGGUUGUUAUUGAGUAGAACCUGUCAUCAGAGGAUGCAUGUCAACGAGAAUGGCAGUUUAAGAACAAAGGGACAUAUGAAUGUUAUGAAUCAUCUGGCAAGUAAAUAUCUUGUGAUGCCAGCUACAACGGUGCCAUGCAAAAGCCUGUUCUCACUUUCAGGUGACGCUGUAAAUAAGAAGAAGUCAGCAGUACCUCCUAUAAAUGUAAACAAACUUGUUUGUCUGAGCAAUUGUCUGAACAAGAAGUAGGAAUGAAUGGACUUGUAGGCACUAAAGUUUUACAUUGUUUUGUUUCAUUUUUGAAUGCAGUUAUUUUUUGUACAAAAUUCUACAUUUGUAAGUUCAAUUUCAUGAUAAAGAGAUUGCACUACAGUAUUUGUAUUAGGUGAAUUGAAAUAUACUAUUUAGUUUUUUGCAGUGCAAAUAUUUGUAAUAAAAAUAAAUAUAA